rnacentral:rRNA from 1 species
CCUACGGGGGGCAGCAGUGAGGAAUAUUGGUCAAUGGGCGCGAGCCUGAACCAGCAAAGUAGCGUGAAGGAUGAAUGCCCUACGGGUUGUAAACUUCUUUUAUAAAGGAAUAAAGUGAGGCUCGUGUGCCUUUUUGUAUGUACUUUAUGAAUAAGGAUCGGCUAACUCCGUGCCAGCAGCCGCGGUAAUACGGAGGAUUCGAGCGUUAUCCGGAUUUAUUGGGUUUAAAGGGAGCGUAGAUGGGGUAUUAAGUCAGGUGUGAAAGUUUGGGGCUCAACCGUCAAAUUGCAAUUGAUACUGGCAGCCUUGAGUACAGGAGAGGUAGGCGGAAUGCGUGGUGUAGCGGUGAAAUGCUUAGAUAUCACGAAGAACUCCGAUUGCGAAGGCAGCCUACUAAACUGCCACUGACAUUGAGGCUCGAAAGUGUGGGUAUCAAACAGGAUUAGAUACCCUAGUAGUC